rnacentral:misc_RNA from 1 species
GAUGAAGAACGCAGCGAAAUGCGAUAAGUAGUGUGAAUUGCAGAAUUCAGUGAAUCAUCGAAUCUUUGAACGCACAUUGCGCCCCUUGGUAUCCCGAGGGGCAUGCCUGUUCGAGCGUCAUUUCACCACUCAAGCCUGGCCUGGUGUUGGGCGACGUCCUCUUUGGGGACGCGCCUCGAAACGCUCGGCGGCGUGGCACCGGCUUUAAGCGUAGCAGAAUCUUUCGCUUUGGAAGUCGGGGCCCCGUCUGCCGGAAGACCUGCUCGCAAGGUUGACCUCGGAUCAGGCAGGGAUACCCGCUGAACUUAAGCAUAUCAAUAAGCGGAGGA